GAGCAGCGCGACACUCACUGCAAACGUAAAACAACAGAAAGAGAGGCAGAGAGAACGGCACUCGGUAAGUAAAGCAUGGCUCAUGAGUGCAUCGGUGAUAAAUGAGCGAAAAGCUGCACACAAAAGCGCAUCCAAGAACAACGAAAAAUAACCACACUUGUGUAGUAGCGCUUGGCUUUGUUGUUUUUAUUCCCCCCGUUCGUUUCGUUCGUUCGAUUGCUACAAUUAGUUUUAAUUCGACGACAUCAGCGAUAAUCGGUGGGACGCGUCUGUGGGAGGGAGACUGCUGCUGCUCAACAGGCAGGAAAUUUCCAUCCUCAUUUACACGCCCGUUAGCUCGUCAGCGCUGCACGUGAGCAUGCACAGCAUGCGGCUCGUUACCUGUGAGCACCGCUUAGACCGAGGCGAGAUGGUGUCUCUUUUCAAGGUUGAUGCCUCAAGGUCACGCCUGUCGCACGUCCGAUGGAGACGCAUGGUUAUUGCAGGUCGGCUCGAGGUUAAACGCUCCAGCGGGGCACGUGAGCUUUUAGCAGAGUUUAUGGCAUAUGGCAUAGGUGAAUGAGCCGGGUUGGUAAUUACACGCGACGCGCGCAGUCUCUUCUGCUGUAAUGAAAAGUCACGACAACGAUACGCGAUACUGGAGCGCGUCGAAAAAACGAGAGCCAGCCAGUGGCACGAACGAUUUUGCUCAUCGUUUAAUUACGCUGGGUUAAUCUUUUUAGUAUUAUUUUACAGCUAAUUUAUUCCAUUUUGACUAAUUGUUGAGUUGAUUUAAUUAUUUUAGAACAAAAAAGCUUUAAAAAAGGUUUACAACUUGGGAACAAAACGUUUAUUUACUUCAAUAAAUUCUCUUCUUAAACUCGCCGCACGGUUCAUCAAUCUUUGGCUAAAUCUGCCGUUCAGUUUUGCAACCAACCGGCUCGUGUCGAUAAUAAACUGAUCAGCUGUUUUCAACCUG